GAACUCUUUGCCAGCAGUCAAGCGCGACGUAUCGCGCCAGAAACACCUAGUUAUGAAUUUGCGAGGUUGACCGAAGUUAAUUAUAGCUACGUGUCUCCUGUCUGUAACAUAGAGAAAACCAGUAAUCGUGAGGGACAUACUCGUAUAAACUGCAGAAGGAAGACUGAAGAAGAUGGCUUGUAUUAAGAAGAAAAAUGUCGUAGAAGGCUUUCUAUUCUUACAGCAAAAACAUAAACUAUAGAAAAAAAUAUAAAGAUCCAAUAAUUGGUGAGAAUACUACGAGUUUCAAUAGUUGUUUGAGAAGUAAGUAGAUUAUCACGUUUUUGCUACUGAACCAUUAAUAUGAAAUGUAAUACAAACUACCAUCAUACCAGUAGUUCGGCUGUACAUAAAAAUAUUAUGAAUUGAAAAUGUUAUAAUCUUACUUAAACUUUAACUAUUAUACAAUAUUGUAUGAAAUAAAUUCCAAAGCAAUG